CUUCAAGUCAUCAUUUCUGCCAGAACAAAGGUCCAAGAUGAAAUGUGACCAGUGGUCUGUGGCUUCAUAAAGAGUGGAGCUGAAAUAUCUCAUGGUUCACGGAGUUCAUGGCUCAUGUCAGGUACUG
rnacentral:lncRNA from 11 species